CGGGUCUUGCUCGUGCUGGCCCACCUUCGGCACCCCCACCACCUCCACCUCCGCUUCCUAAGGAAAAUAUUUCAAAUGCCCCCAUGCCACCUCCUCCACCUCCACUUCCUCCUUCAUCUGCAAAGUUGGGUGCUCCCCCUCCGCCUCCUCCACCACCACGUCCUCCUUUAUCCGGAAAGUUGGGUGCUCCGCCUCCUCCACCACCACGUCCUCCUUCAUCCGGAAAGUUGGGUGCUCCCCCUCCGCCUCCACCACCACCACUAUCCAAGACCCCUGCUCCCCCUCCGCCACCUCUAUCCAAGACCUCUGCUCCUCCUCCUCCGCCAGCUUUGGGUCGUGGCACAAGUAGUGGCCCACCACCACUGGGAGCAAAAGGUUCAAAUGCACCGCCGCCACCUCCUGCUGCAGGAAGGGGCAGAGCUUCCUCG
rnacentral:lncRNA from 1 species